UCCUUGCCUCGAGUAUUAGGAGCUGCCGU
rnacentral:sRNA from 1 species